GACGAACGCUGGCGGCGUGCUUAACACAUGCAAGUCGAGCGGUAAGGCCCUUUCGGGGGUGCACGAGCGGCGAACGGGUGAGUAACACGUGGGUGACCUGCCCUCAGCUCUGGGAUAAGCCUGGGAAACCGGGUCUAAUACUGGAUAUGACUCCAUGACGCAUGUUGUGGGGUGGAAAGCCUUGUGCGGCUGAGGAUGGGCCCGCGGCCUAUCAGCUUGNGGUGGGGUGAUGGCCUACCAAGGCGACGACGGGUAGCCGGCCUGAGAGGGCGACCGGCCACACUGGGACUGAGACACGGCCCAGACUCCUACGGGAGGCAGCAGUGGGGAAUCUUGCGCAAUGGGCGAAAGCCUGACGCAGCGACGCCGCGUGAGGGAUGACGGCCUGG
rnacentral:rRNA from 1 species